rnacentral:rRNA from 1 species
CACAUCGGGUGCCGUCGCAAACGCAGUAAGUACUCCACCUGGGGAGUACGUUCGCAAGAAUGAAACUCCAAAGGAAUUGACGGGGGACCCGCACAAGCGGUGGAGCAUGUGGUUUAAUUCGAAGCAACGCGAAAGACCCUUACCAAGUCUUGACAUCGUGACGACAGGGAAGUAAUGUUCCCAUCCCUUCGGGGCGUCAUAGACAGGUGGUGCAUGGUUGUCGUCAGCUCGUGUCGUGAGAUGUUGGGUUAAGUCCCGCAACGAGCGCAACCCUUAUGCUUAGUAGCCAGCAGGUAAAGCUGGGCACUCUAAGGAGACUGCCAGGGAUAACCUGGAGGAAGGUGGGGAUGACGUCAAAUCAUCAUGCCCCUUAUGAUUUGGGCUACACACGUGCUACAAUGGCGUAAACAAAGGGAAGCGAGGGAGUGAUCCGGAGCGAAUCCCAAAAAUAACGUCUCAGUUCGGAUUGUAGUCUGCAACUCGACUACAUGAAGCUGGAAUCGCUAGUAAUCGCGGAUCAGAAUGCCGCGGUGAAUACGUUCCCGGGUCUUGUACACACCGCCCGUCACACCAUGGGAGCCGGUAAUACCCGAAGUCAGUAGUCUAACCGCAAGGAGGGCGCUGCCGAAGGUAGGAUUGGCGACUGGGG